rnacentral:tRNA from 1 species
GCCGGAGUGGCGGAAUGGCAGACGCGCGCGACUCAAAAUCGCGUAUCGAAAGGUGUGUGGGUUCGAGUCCCACCUCCGGCACCA